UGUCAGCAGCCGCGGUAAUACGUAGGGUGCGAGCGUUAAUCGGAAUUACUGGGCGUAAAGGGUGCGCAGGCGGUUUUGUAAGCCAGGCGUGAAAUCCCCGGGCUUAACCUGGGAACUGCGUUUGGAACUGCAAGACUAGAGUGUGUCAGAGGGAGGUGGAAUUCCACGUGUAGCAGUGAAAUGCGUAGAUAUGUGGAGGAACACCGAUGGCGAAGGCAGCCUCCUGGGAUAACACUGACGCUCAUGCACGAAAGCGUGGGGAGCAAACAGGAUUAGAUACCCUGGUAGUCCACGCCCUAAACGAUGUCAACUGGUUGUUGGGAGAGAAAUCUUUCAGUAACGAAGCUAACGCGUGAAGUUGACCGCCUGGGGAGUACGGCCGCAAGGUUGAAACUCAAAUAAAUUGACGG
rnacentral:rRNA from 1 species